UUAUCGUUCUCGGUGAAGGAAUCGGAGCAGCUAUAUAAUCAGCAUCUUACUCUUUAACGGCAAGCUCAGCAACGAUAAGUUUUCCUCUGCUGGAAAGCAGUCCUUCACGGAUAUGGGAGCUUACUCCGCAGUUGCUGGUUUAGUAAGCAUUUCCUUCCCUUAUGAUUUUGAAAAAGGAAUGGAUAGAGAGGAAGGCUCCAGGGUUUCUUUCUCUUGGUGUCAACAUAGGAAUGGGAGCUGUUUGAAUGGAUGCCUUUUUCCCUUGUUGAAUCAGCCAAGUCAGUAGCCUUUCUUUUAUGCGGGAUUGCCUGUUGAUGCAAGGAAUAAGGGCUGGCUUGAUGCCAAAAAGAAGCUAAGCUGGUGGAGGAAUAACGGCUGCUAAAUCAUCUGCAGCACAGUAGUACGUAUUAGGCAAAUGGGAUUUAUCUUUCCUAGGCUCAGGAGCGUAGUGUAGUAAGGGGUCUUUGGUGCGUGAAUGCUUUACUUAGAGCUUGAACUAGGGGCAGCAACCAUUUCAACUGGAUACCAUAAAGAGGGCAAGAGAGGAGGAGCCGAUGAAAUUAUUUCGGAGUUCUUCCCCGCUGACGUCUAAGCUCUCAAGGACUCGGAUUAGUCAACAGGAAUGAUAUAUAAGAAAGCUGGUAGCUCGAGCGAGGAGCGGAGCCUAGCCCUAUAGCUAUAUAUAGGCUAUAUAAUAUUAUAUUUCCCCUGCUUUGAAUAGUGAGAAUCAAACUCAUUGCUCAUUCAUUCAGAGGGUAAAGUAGAUCGAGAGAGAGAAUUGGCUUCUCGAGAAUCUGCUGGAGUCAGAUCAGUAGGGGAGUUCACACCGGGACUUUUUAUAUAGAGAAAGAACCGAACCGGGUAAAGGCGAUAACGACCCAGGAAAUGGUGAAGUACGUGAAUCGACUCCCUCUUCGAGUAAUUUAACAUAAAAGAAAUAAGAAGGGACUGACUUCUUUCUUGACAAGGAUCCUGAAC
rnacentral:lncRNA from 1 species